rnacentral:rRNA from 1 species
GGGUGCGUAACGCGUAUGCAAUCUACCUUUUACAGAGGGAUAGCCCAGAGAAAUUUGGAUUAAUACCUCAUAGCAUUAUGAUAUGGCAUCGUAUUAUAAUUAAAGUUCCAACGGUAAAAGAUGAGCAUGCGUCCCAUUAGCUAGUUGGUGUGGUAACGGCACACCAAGGCUACGAUGGGUAGGGGUCCUGAGAGGGAGAUCCCCCACACUGGUACUGAGACACGGACCAGACUCC